rnacentral:lncRNA from 1 species
UCAGACUUCUCCUUGUUUAAGCAGUUGUUCUCAUUUUUGUUAUUCUAGGGUCCCUGGACACUGGGUUCCAGCUGCUUACUCGGAGAAGACUUUGUAUGGAGUCUGGCAAAUCUUUCCAGCUGAGCAGGGAGGAAAAUAUUUCAGCACAGACAUUUGUGACCCUUCAUGAAGCUCCAGAGUUGGAAGCCAGACCGGGACCUAUAGUCCUUGCUCCCACACAUUAGGCCCAGGGCCCGGGUUGGCAGCCCCUGCUGACUUUUUCCUGCUGUUUGGAAAAACACCCCUCCGGUCACCACCUUCCAACUCACAUUGGAUUCAUUUGAAGCAGCCCACAGGGAAGGGUGUCGCUGAGGAAACAAAACCCAGACCCCCCAGGCCUCUGAGUGAGGGGUGGGAGCUUGCUGGGAAAACACUUCCACCUGAGAAGCACAAAGGACCCCAGAAGUAGAGGAAGCUGGCCUGAGGCCAACCGGAGAGGAUUAUCUUUCCUGGAGCGAACUGGUUAAACCUGAGCAGAAGAAAUCAGUGCUAUGGGACCUGCAGGCCAGUUCUUCCUUGGAAAGGAUGUUUCUGUUGUGGGA